rnacentral:rRNA from 1 species
GAUGAACGCUGGCGGCGUGCCUAACACAUGCAAGUCGAGCGAAGCACUUUGCUUGGAUUCUUCGGAUGAAGAGGAUUGUGACUGAGCGGGCGACGGGUGAAGGUAACGCGUAGGUAACCUGCCUCAUACAGGGGGAUAACAGUUAGAAAUGACUGCUAAUACCGCAUAAGACCACAGCACCGCAUGGUGCAGGGGUAAAAACUCCGGUGGUAUGAGAUGGACCCGCGUCUGAUUAGCUAGUUGGUGGGGUAACGGCCCACAAAGGCGACGAUCAGUAGCCGGCCUGAGAGGGUGAACGGCCACAUUGGGACUGAGACACGGCCCAG